rnacentral:rRNA from 1 species
AGCGAACGCUGGCGGCGUGCUUAACACAUGCAAGUCGAGCGAGAAAGGGGGCUUCGGCCCCUGAGUACAGCGGCGAACGGGUGCGUAAUGCAUGAGCAAUCUACCCUUGAGGCGGGAAUAACCCAGCGAAAGUUGGGCUAAUACCGGAUAAGACCACAAGAGGAGACCCUAGAGGCUAAAGGCAGCUCUCUUUUGGGGGCGGCCCUUUGAGGAGGAGCUCAUGUCCUAUCAGCUAGUUGGUAGGGUAACGGCCUACCAAGGCGAAGACGGGUAGCUGGUCUUAGAGGAUGAUCAGCCACACGGGGACUGAGACACGGCCCCGACUCCUACGGGAGGCAGCAGUGGGGAAUAUUGGGCAAUGGGGGAAACCCUGACCCAGCGACGCCGCGUGGGUGA